GUAGCCUAGUGGUUAGAGUGUAGAGGUGGUAGGGUAGCCUAGUGGUUAGAGUGUAGAGGUGGUAGGGUAGCCUAGUGGUUAGAGUGUAGAGGCGGCAGGGUAGCCUAGUGGUUAGAGUGUAGAGGUGGUAGGGUAGCCUAGUGGUUAGAGUGUAGAGGUGGCAGGGUAGCCUAGUGGUUAGAGUGUAGAGGUGGCAGGGUAGCCUAGUGGUUAGAGUGGAGGGGCGGCAGGGUAGCCUAGUGGUUAGAGUGGAGGGGCGGCAGGGUAGCCUAGUGGUUAGAGUGGAGGGGCGGCAGGGUAGCCUAGUGGUUAGAGUGGAGGGGCGGCAGGGUAGCCUAGUGGUUAGAGUGUAGAGGGGGCAGGGUAGCCUAGUGGUUAGAGUGUAGAGGUGGCAGGGUAGCCUAGUGGUUAGAGUGGAGGGGCGGCAGGGUAGCCUAGUGGUUAGAGUGUAGAGGAGGUAGGUAGCCUAGUGGUUAGAGUGGAGGGGCGGCAGGGUAGCCUAGUGGUUAGAGUGGAGGGGCGGCAGGGUAGCCUAGUGGUUAGAGUGGAGGGGCGGCAGGGUAGCCUAGUGGUUAGAGUGGAGGGGCGGCAGGGUAGCCUAGUGGUUAGAGUGUAGAGGCGGCAGGUAGCCUAGUGGUUAGAGUGGAGGGGCGGCAGGGUAGCCUAGUGGUUAGAGUGUAGAGGAGGCAGGGUAGCCUAGUGGUUAGAGUGUAGAGGAGGCAGGGUAGCCUAGUGGUUAGAGUGUAGAGGGGGCAGGGUAGCCUAGUGGUUAGAGUGUAGAGGAGGCAGGGUAGCCUAGUGGUUAGAGUGUAGAGGAGGCAGGGUAGCCUAGUGGUUAGAGUGUAGAGGAGGCAGGGUAGCCUAGUGGUUAGAGUGUAGAGGAGGCAGGGUAGCCUAGUGGUUAGAGUGUAGAGGAGGCAGGUAGCCUAGUGGUUAGAGUGUAGAGGAGGCAGGUAGCCUAGUGGUUAGAGUGUAGAGGAGGCAGGUAGCCUAGUGGUUACAGUGGAGGGGCGGCAGGGUAGCCUAGUGGUUAGAGUGUAGAGGGCGGCAGGGUAGCCUAGUGGUUAGAGUGUAGAGGGGGCAGGUAGCCUAGUGGUUAGAGUGU